UUGUAGCCUCGAUUACAGGCAGUACCCCUUACUGCC
rnacentral:tRNA from 1 species